GUGCAGGUUAAGUUACAUAACAGCUGUUCUGUGCUGUUCUGUCGUUCCCCCUGCAAAAAGAAAAAUGUUUCUUUCUAUCCCUGUGUGCCAGUGAUCUCCGGCAUGCAGGGACGCUUAGUCUCAGACAC